GAAGAUUCCCACCCGUUCUGCAGGAAUCUGACGGCAGGGGGCGCUGUGCGGAGCCGCGCUGGGUGCGUCGGGCUCUCUGGCACGUCCUCUCGCCUCCUCCGGGCUUCCGGCGUGGCUCCCGCGCGCCAGCAUGGACCGUAACCCGUCGCCUCCGCCGCCUAGCUGCGAUCAGGAGGACGAGGAGGACCUGGCCGGGGGAGACUGCAUUGGGAGCACGGUCUACAGCAAGCACUGGCUCUUCGGCGUCCUCAGCGGGCUCAUCCAGAUUGUCACACUUGAAAGUGACAAGUCCGACUCAGAUGAUGAUGAGCAGCAGAUGGAGCUUGCUGAAGAAAUGGAGAAUGAAAUUUGCAGAGUCGGGGAUAUGUCCAUGGAUGAGGAUGUGGCUUUAUUUCUCUAAGAAUUUAAGGCUCCUGACAUAUUCAUGGGAGUGCUGGCCAAAUCCAGGUGCCCCCAAUUAAGAUUUCUGGUCUGGAUAUCUGACACUCUGUCUGGAGCUGGAGAGGAGGAGGGAGGCCUUCACCAACAUUAUGUAUCUGAAUGACAUAAGCCUCAUGGAAGGGGACAAUGCUUUUAGGUUUUGAGCAGCACAGUUCAGCUGAGAGCCAUUCGGAUAUGAGGACACAGAGGCUUCCAGUCUGAGGAAACAAGACCAGCCGAGAAGUUGGCAAGUGUUCUUACAGUUCUCACGUUUCAUGUAUGGAGCCUGUAUGCGCUGUGUUUCUGCGUGCAGGGUGGAUCCCUGAGACCUUGGAGGAAUGGAAGCUUCUCCUACAUCUACUACAGAACAAGAGCACGAGGCCAACUCCUCAGGAGUCACUGAAUGGGAGCCUCAGUGAUGGGCCUGCCCCCAUCAAUGUGGAGAAUGUGGCACUCUUGUUAGCUAAGGCCAUGGACCCAGAUCGGGCUUGGUCACUGCUACAGGAAUGUGGUCUAGCCCUUGAGUUGUCGGCAAAGUUUACCAGAACCUGUGACAUCCUGAGGAUCGCUGAGAGAAGACAGAGAGCGCUGAUACAAGCCAUGCUUGAGAAGUGUGACCGGUUCCUCUGGUCACAGCAGGCCUAGUGGGAGAUCUGUCGGGACAUGGUAUCAUUUUGACCAAGUGGAAUCCUGCUCCGGAAUCUUCAUAGGACUUUGCCACAGAAGGAAAAGGGAUACCCCAAACCAUGCCAGGAACAGAACCUGCCAUGCUGCUGCAGCUGCUCUUGCCACCAUCUCCACCUUGGCACUUGGCUCUUGGCUCUUGUGGCUCUAUGACCUCAGUUUGUCAACCAAAGUCGUCUCUUGGGAGAAGUUGGUUAUGGUUCCGUGGCCCGAGCAUGGGACUGCUCACUGCCAUGUGGUAUUCAGUGCAUACACAGUGGUGUUUGUGAUGUUAGUGCACCAGGGAAUCGUUUUCUACUGUGGCAGAUCUUUUGGGGGCAGACGCUUUGCUCCAUGAGGACAGAUAAUAUUGUGAACUGGAGUUCAGUACUAUUUACACUUGUCUGAGGCCAUCUAGAAAUUACCGAGUUAAGACUUAGAACAAUGACAUUGUUUUUGUUGACAUAUGUAAUAAACAUUGAAAAUUCAAACUAGAGUUUUAAAUAAAAUUGCCCAUAUCUGAGUUGAGCUCAAUUUAAAGUAUUUUUCCAGUA